CCUACGGGAGGCAGCAGUGGGGAAUAUUGGGCAAUGGGCGCAAGCCUGACCCAGCAACGCCGCGUGAAGGAAGAAGGCUUUCCGGUUGUAAACUUCUUUUAUUAGGGACGCAAGAUAUGACGGUACCUCAUCAAUAAGCCACGGCUAACUACGGGCCCGCAGCCGCGGUAAUACGUAGGUGGCAACCGUUAUCCGGAUUUACUGGGUGUAAAGGGCGUGUAGGCGGGACUGCAAGUCAUCUGUGAAAAUUAUGGGCUCAACCCAUAACCUGCAUUUGAUACUGUAGGUCUUGAGUGAUGGAGAGGGAGGCGGAAUGCCGGGUGUAGCGGUGAAAUGCGUAGAUAUACGGAGGAACACCAGUGGCGAAGGCGGCCUGCUGGACAGUAACUGACGCUGAGGCGCGAAGGCGAGGGGAGCAAACAGGAUUAGAUACCCCAGUAGUC
rnacentral:rRNA from 1 species